GUUGGGUAGAGCAGAGUGACCUGUAGGAAGAAUAAUGGAUGUCAGGAGGAUUACUCUGGAUGCUAUGCUGAGAAGAAACUGAAGACAAUGGUGGAAGUGGGAAAGCUUAUGACUCAGAAUAACUAUUUCUAAUAACAAAUUUUAAGUUCUCUUCAUGCAGAGCAGCUGACACAAAUCUUCAACUCAUUGAUGAUGGCAUCUGACUGUUCCAGGUAUUAAGAAGAGAGAAAGAAUCUGAGAAAUUAUGGCGUACUCAACUGUGGACAGCUGAAAGUCUGGCAUAGCGUGCCCUCAUCAUCACAAAUGGGCUCGCAUUACAAGCUACACUUAUUUGACAACUAUCAGCAUUUGUCAACCGGCACUCAGAUUUGAAGACUCAUUUCACAGCUGGAGCAAGAGAAGACAGGAAGGAAAAAUCAGAGUAAGGUUUCAAUGAGUUUCUGCAAAUUCUCAGAAGUUUUGCUGCCACUCAGUGUCACAAUAACAAAAAGAAAUAAAAAUAGCUGAUAUUUACUAAACA
rnacentral:lncRNA from 10 species